ACGCUACGCCACAUCACUCCAUUCCUCCAUCUCUCCAGAGCUCUGGCCUCGCGAGGCUUCGUCAUAACUUUCAUCAACACGGAGGGCAACCACAGGGACCUGAAGGACAUCGUUUCACAGGAGGAGAGCUUUGGCUAUGGCGGCGGCAUUCGCUUCGAGACGGUCCCGGGCAUCCAAGCGAGCGACGUCGACUUCGCGGUCCCGGAGAAGCGGGGGAUGUUCUCCGAGGCAGUGAUGGAGAUGCAGGCUCCAGUGGAAAGCUUGCUCAUCAGGAACAUGGCCAGAGACGAUGAUCUCGUUCCUCCGGUCUCGUGCUUCAUCUCGGAUAUGUUCCCGUGGUCCGCGGAAGUAGCAAGAAGGACUGGAAUCCCAGAGGUCAAGUUCUGGAUCGCCAGUGCCUCUUGCGUUUUGCUCGAUUGCUCGUUUCCGCGAAUGCUGGAGAAGGGAGACGUUCCAGUCCAAGGUAAAGCUUCUUUCUUCUUUUUUAUUUGUCCUUCUUUCGAGAAGCACUAACGUGUUCCGCCAGAUCGUUCCAUUGAAAAGUACAUCACUUACGUAGACGGCUUGUCACCACUGCCAAUCUGGGGCCUCCCGCGCGACCUUUCUGCCAUUGACGAAUCAAGAUUCGCUGGCAGAUACGCUAGAGCCAAGAGCUUCGCCACAACGUCGUGGGUUUUGGUCAACUCGUUCGAAGAACUCGAGGGCAGUGCCACCUUCCAAGCCCUCCGAGACAUCUCUCCCAAAGCAAUCGCUGUGGGUCCUCUUUUCACCAUGGCCCCCGGCUGCAACAAGGCAAGCUUGUGGAAGGAAGACACCGAGAGUUUAUCCUGGCUCGGCAAGCAAAGUCCCGGCUCGGUUCUCUACAUUUCCUUGGGCACCAUCGCGACUCUCAGCUUCGAUCAGUUCAAGGAGUUCUCCGAGGGACUGAGGCUUCUCCAGCGUCCGUUUAUCUGGGCCAUCCGACCCAAGUCGGUCGCCGGCAUGGAGCCCGAGUUCCUGGAGCGUUUCAAGGAGGCCGUGAGGAGCUUUGGACUGGUUGUGAGCCGGGCUCCUCAGGUGGACAUCCUCCGCCACCCUUCCACGGCUGGAUUUCUCAGUCACUGCGGCUGGAACUCCAUCCUCGAGAGCGUAGCAUCCGCGGUGCCCAUGCUUUGCUGGCCGUGCGUCGCGGAGCAGAAUCUAAACUGCAAGUUGAUAGUGGAGGACUGGAAGAUCGGUCUCAAGUUCUCGUGCGUGACCAUGCCGGAUCCUCCCGAGGUGAUGGCGAGGGACGAGUUUGUGGAGGUGGUGGAGCGAUUCAUGGGAACUGACAGUGAGCAUUUGAGGAUUAACGUGAAGAAGCUGAGCGAGGAGGCUCGUAGAGCAGUGUCUAGUGGUGGCUCCUCAUAUGAAAACCUGGAGAGAUUUGCUCAAGCAGUGAAAAUUUCCUAAACUUCAAUCCAAAGCUAAGAGAAAACUUCAAAGCAUCUACUCUAUUCAAGAAUAUACUACAGUUCUUUCUCUCUUUCUCUGAAGAUAAGCACGCGCUUUGCGCGUAUAAUGGGUUCCAAGGUCAAUGUUGUCGCAAUUCCUCUCCCAGCUCAAGGCCACAUCUCUCCACUCUUGCAUCUCUGCCAAGCUCUCACUUUCAUCCUUUGGGGGAUGCUAUCUCCAAAACACACAACCAUGAGGGAAUGUGCUGGACUUUGUCACGUGCAAGAACCCAUGGCCAAUGUGCUAGUGUAGACUCCAAGGUGAUGCCUUAUGUCAGAAACUGAUGCAAAAAGAAGAAACUAAAGAAAAACAAAAAAAAUAAUAAUAAGAAGAAAGAGAGUGUAAAGUUCUGGAGUCAAAAGGGAACCAUAUGAGGAAAUUUGAUAAAAGAACUAAACACUAAAAAAUGGAAAAACAAAAAGUGAAAAAAACUAAAGAGCAAGGAACAGCUUAAAGAAGAGCUCUAGAGGCCAGUUAUAAUGGCCAUUUGUCUCAAGUUGGUCCCUGGCAUAGAGCCUGAGUUCCUGGAGGCUUUCAAGGCUCUCCUUGAAAGUGAUCAGCUUUGGACUGGUUGUGAGCUGGGCUCCUCAACCGGAAAUCCUCCAGCAUCCUUCCACAGGCUGCGAGAGUGUAUCUUCAGCAGUGCCAAUCCUUUGCUGGUCAUGAGUUGCCGAGCAGAAUCUCAACUGCAAGCUUAUAGUGGAAAACUGGAAGAUCGAUCUUAAGUUCUCACCCAUGAGAGAUCCUUGCAAGGUGGUGGCAGGGACGAGUUUGUGGAGGUGGUGGAGCAGCUCAUGGGAGCUGAGAAUGGCGAUUCCUUUAGAUGUAAUGUGAAGGAGCUCAGCGAGGCUGCUCAGGGAGCAACAGUGAAAGAAGGCAGGAUCUUCAUAUGAAAGUUUGGACAAGUUCGUCAAGUUUCAUAAGGUAAUUUAUAUCCAAUGCCGCAGCUGGUGGCAGGACGAUCAUCGGGUAUGAGGGCGGGGCCAAUGCACAGACAGACCAACCACCAAGAGCACAUAAAGAUGAUACUUGAAAGUGUAUAGGUUGGUGGAAGUGUUAUUUUCCUUCCCAAAGAAAUAGAUGGCAUAAUCAAGAGGACUAAAAAAUUCCUGAAGGAGAACACUAGAAUAAAACCUUUGCAAAACGCACUGAUUCUUAAGCUCAGCCUUGGAGCCAGAAAGAAACGGCAGCACCUUCAUGAAGUAAGCUUGAAUUUCCUUUGUUCUUCGUCAAUGGGUUCUUCUACUGGUGCCGAGGGGCUCGCUCCUCACGCAGCGGUUCUUCCCAUUCCAACUCUAGGCCACAUCACUCCAUUCCUCCAUCUCUCUAGAGCUCUGGCCUCGCGAGGCUUCGUCAUAACUUUUAUCAACACGGAGGGCAACCACAGGGACUUGAAGGACAUCGUUUCACAGGAGGAGAGCUUUGGCUCUGGUGGCAGCAUUCGUUUCGAGACGGUCCCCGGGGUCCAAACGAGCGAGGCCGACUUCACGGCCCCGGAGACGCGGCCAAUGUUCUUCGAGG
rnacentral:lncRNA from 1 species